UUUUUGCUGAUUAUAAACACCAUUUAAUACAUAUUGCCAUUUGAAGACGGCAACAUUGCCUUACUAUGUUUCGCAACAUUGUUAUUCUGUCAACCAGUAGAUGCAGAUGAACCGUUCUAUUUAUAUUACCGUUCUAUUUGUAUUUGUGUCUCUGAAUUCAGUACAAGUAAAGUAAAAAUAAAGUAACUUUGGUCGGAACUGCCGUUCCAUCACGAAAUUGCGAUCGAUGAUCUCGAUCUCGAUCCUACCCCAAUUUGGGAUCGAAGAAUCCAAAUCGAUCGGUUUUUUUAAUUUGAUCAAUCGAUCGGGGAAAUCGAUCUUCUCGAUUAUUUUUUAAAAAAUGUAUUUCCUUUGUGCUGCAUCACACAGACGAUAGUGAGCGGCAAAUUUGACCUCACUUUUUGUACUACUCCUUUGAGUAAGCUGAUGCCAAGUUAGCAUUGAAACAGUCAAAAAUUUUUUGUUUUAACUCCAAUUUCUUAUUUUGUUGCAUUAAUACAUUGUAUUUGAAGUGG